UUGAGUUCAAGAAGUAUGUGAAACCGUCUGGGAGUAAACGGGUGGUUCCCGAAAGUGCGAAAGGGGAGAUUCAGGUUUCGCCGCGCGUCGGGACGCAUCCGAAGCAAGGGAUGGUGUUCUCGCGGCCUUGGGGCAACCCUCGGUCCGGGAGGGCAACCCUCGGUCCGGGAGCGCCACCUUUCGUGGUGCUGUAUUUCCCGGCGUCGGAGUGACGCACUUCUCCCCCGGUAGAACGUCGCGAUCCGUCGGUCGCCGGCCUAAGGCCCCUGGUGGAGCCUGCUUCGCCGCGCAAGACCCCGGGGAUCCCGGCCGGGUGCCCGACGGUAUGAAGAGAGGAAGGAGUCGGCGCGCCUCUUGUAGGCGUCCGCCCCUCCGCAAGCGCCCGCGGGAGUCGGAGCUCCGGGCCCGGCCCGGUCUCUUUCUUCAACGGGGCUGUUUGCGAYAAGGNNANGUGCUCGGAC
rnacentral:rRNA from 1 species